rnacentral:rRNA from 1 species
UACCAGCUCCUCGAGUGGUUGGGACGAUUAUUGGGUCUAAAGCGUCCGUAGCCGGCCGGAAAAGUUCUCCGUUAAAUCCAACGAUCCAAUCGUUGGGCCGCGGGGAAUACUCUUCGGCUUGGGGGCGAGGGAGGUCGGCGGUAGUCUCGGGGUAGGGGCGAAAUCCUAUAAUCCCGAGAGGACCACCAGUGGCGAAGGCGGCCGACUAAAGCGCGCCCGACGGUGAGGGACGAAAGCUGGGGGAG